rnacentral:rRNA from 1 species
GACGAACGCUGGCGGCGUGCCUAAUACAUGCAAGUAGAACGCACAGUUUAUACCGUAGCUUGCUACACCAUAGACUGUGAGUUGCGAACGGGUGAGUAACGCGUAGGUAACCUGCCUGGUAGCGGGGGAUAACUAUUGGAAACGAUAGCUAAUACCGCAUAAUAUUGAUUAUUGCAUGAUAAUUGAUUGAAAGAUGCUAUUGCAUCACUACCAGAUGGACCUGCGUUGUAUUAGCUAGUAGGUGAGGUAACGGCUCACCUAGGCGACGAUACAUAGCCGACCUGAGAGGGUGAUCGGCCACACUGGGACUGAGACACGGCCCAGACUCCUACGGGAGGCAGCAGUAGGGAAUCUUCGGCAAUGGACGAAAGUCUGACCGAGCAACGCCGCGUGAGUGAAGAAGGUUUUCGGAUCGGAAAGCUCGGUUGUAAGAGAAGAACGGGUGUGAGAGUGGAAAGUUCACACUGUGACGGUAUCUUACCAGAAAGGGACGGCUAACUACGUG